rnacentral:lncRNA from 13 species
AUAAAAAAUUAAAAAAAAACCAGAUAAGAUACAAAGGUUGCUGACAUAAAAAACUACCACUCCAUUCUCCGUUCCAUUCUGCUGACACCUUCAUUUUUAUCGAGAUGUAAAGCUCACUUUUAUAAAGAGAUUUAUUUCUACCAGUGAAAGAAAGUUUGUAUCGUCCAUCAAUUUUUUUAUAUAAAUAGAAAACUUUCUUUGGCUACAAAGCAGAAUUGGAAGUAAUAGCCGAGAUACUCAAUGUGCUUAUCUCAACAUUUUUUCUGAAAAUAAGUUAUUGAGUAUUGAACAAUACUAAUUUUCGCAGUUUUCACGGAUGCUGCCACCGCUGCUCUUCGACUGCUAGAAAUCUUAUCUCACUCUCGUGCACGCGUGCUUGUCACGCGUUACAGCACGAUAAUCAACAAGUACUGAGAAGAUAUACAAUAGCAGAUGGUUACAUUUGUGCACAGUCAUGAGACGAAUGUCACAUAUUGAGUUGAAUUGCUGCAUGUUUAACUUCGAAGAGAGGAGUAUCCUUUUGUUCAAAGGAAGCUUGAAAAGUUUAGGACAUCUGCACGAUAUGAAGAUCUGAAUAAAUAAUCUUCAUCAUUUAAGCUGACUAGGAUCUUGAAUUUUUAGAAUUCGUUGGUACUUACGAGAUUGCAUUCGGAACAAAUACUAUAAUUUCUCCGCUAUUUCAGGAUAAAUUUGAUGGAAUUUUAUAAUAUGAAAAUGAAGGAUUUUCCGAAUCAAAGAUUGAGCUUGGACAACUCCAUAUAUUUCGAGACUACAAGAGACGCAAAUCGAUGAAAAUCAAGUCCAAUUUACGGAAGUGACCUUAAUCCAUUGUAAAACGUGGCGCUAUGAAAAUGCGAAGAUAUUAUGUAACGCGCCAAUUAUCAGUCACUUGAAAAUUUGUUUGCGAACGAAGAUACGAAAUGAAACGGAUUAACUACGAUGCUAAAGCACGUGGGAAACAAAUUACAACGAAGACGCAUGCGAGAUAAUCAUAUAUCAUAAAGCUAUUAUCAUAUCAUAUCCCUGGUACAACAAACAUCUCAUCCAAGUGGGUAAUUAAUAAAUGCCAC